UACAUUAACGGGCGAAUUGACCGUAUCCAGACACGGAUGCGUGGGAAUCCGGUGAGAAUCCGGAGCUGACGCGCAGCGGUGAUGGGGACGAUUCCGACACAACCACUGGUGUGUACCGGGAAGGGUCGGGACCGGACGAACCAAGCCCGAAGACCUGUCAAUUCGUCGUUUCGUUG
rnacentral:ncRNA from 2 species